UACGAAGGGGGCUAGCGUUGCUCGGAAUCACUGGGCGUAAAGGGCGCGUAGGCGGCCGAUUAAGUCGGGGGUGAAAGCCUGUGGCUCAACCACAGAAUUGCCUUCGAUACUGGUUGGCUUGAGACCGGAAGAGGACAGCGGAACUGCGAGUGUAGAGGUGAAAUUCGUAGAUAUUCGCAAGAACACCAGUGGCGAAGGCGACACACUGGCCCGUUACUGACGCUGAGGCGCGAAAGCGUGGGGAGCAAACAGG
rnacentral:rRNA from 1 species